CCUACGGGUGGCAGCAGUGAGGAAUAUUGGUCAAUGGACGAGAGUCUGAACCAGCCAAGUAGCGUGAAGGAUGACUGCCCUAUGGGUUGUAAACUUCUUUUAUAUGGGAAUAAAAUGUUCCACGUGUGGGAGUUUGUAUGUACCAUAUGAAUAAGGAUCGGCUAACUCCGUGCCAGCAGCCGCGGUAAUACGGAGGAUCCGAGCGUUAUCCGGAUUUAUUGGGUUUAAAGGGGGCGUAGGUGGAUUGUUAAGUCAGGUGUGAAAGUUUGCGGCUCAACCGUAAAAUUGCAGUUGAAACUGGCAGUCUAGAGUACAGUAGAGGUAGGCGGAAUUCGUGGUGUAGCGGUGAAAUGCUUAGAUAUCACGAAGAACUCCGAUUGCGAAGGCAGCUAACUGGACUGCAACUGACACUGAGGCUCGAAAGUGUGGGUAUCAAACAGGAUUAGAUACCCUGGUAGUC
rnacentral:rRNA from 1 species